AAGUAUUAUUGCAUUAGAGGCAUGGGCUAUGCAAAAAUAAAAAUAUUUCGAGGAAAUAAAAAGGAGCAAGUGCUCGACAACCUCGCAGAAAAAUGGACAAGUGUCCGGCAGUAGAAUUAGGGGUACCUCGGUAUCCACUUAAAAAAAAGAGAGAGAGAGAGAAAAGAGAAAAAAAUGAUAGCCCAUGGUCCCUCUAAUAAGCAAUAUGCCAGCAAGAGUUGACAAAGAUUUUAAUUUUCAAAGUCUUUGAUCUAAGAGUAUGACAUUCCCCUCCUCGGAUCCCGUUUUGAUCAGGCAAUAAAUGCAAAGUAAGUAUGCUUGAGAAUUUUUGCAAAAAAAUAAAACAGCCUCAGUGAGAUAUAUAUAUAAAAGAUAAUGAGUGAUAUGAGAGAACCUAUGAGGAUAAAAAGGUAUGCUAACUUUCUUUCAAAAAUAUACAAAAACUCCAAGUGACAGGAUUGAGAAGAAAGGAUCUUUACUCUUAACCAUAUACUUCUCUGACUAUGGUACACAGUGAAUUUUUAACACCCUGCAAUUAUAUAAAGAAUGCUCUAAAAUAUUUUACCCCAGAUAUUGUUCUUAACCAUCCUUUUCUCGAGGACGAGUAAAAGCCUAAGUAUGAGGGUAUUUGUUGACGGUUCUUAAGUAUCAAUUUUAAUUAUCAAAUAAACAAGAGAAAGGACCAAUAUGCAACCAACACCUAGAAUUAGGGUUUGAUCUGACAGAAUUCCACGAGUUUUGUUGUUUAUCUGUUUCUGCAGGGGGUUAUCAGGAAAUAAGGAAGAAAGGCCCAC
rnacentral:lncRNA from 1 species